rnacentral:rRNA from 1 species
GACGAACGCUGGCGGCGUGCCUAACACAUGCAAGUCGAGCGGAGAUACAUUGAAGAGCAAUCAGAUAUGUAUCUUAGCGGCGGACGGGUGAGUAACGCGUGGGCAACCUGCCUCAUACUGGGGGAUAACACAGGGAAACUUGUGCUAAUACCGCAUAAUAUCAUUAUAGGGCAUCCUGUGAUGAUCAAAGGAGCAAUCCGGUGUGAGAUGGGCCCGCGUCCAAUUAGCUAGUUGGUGGGGUAACGGCCCACCAAGGCGACGAUUGGUAGCCGAACUGAGAGGUUGAUCGGCCACAUUGGGACUGAGACACGGCCCAGACUCCUACGGGAGGCAGCAGUGGGGAAUAUUGCGCAAUGGGGGAAACCCUGACGCAGCAACGCCGCGUGAAGGAUGAAGGUCUUCGGAUUGUAAACUUCUUUGAUGGAGGGACGAACACAAUGACGGUACCUACAAAACAACGCCACGGCUAACUACGUGCCAGCACGCC